GCAGUGGGGAAUAUUGCGCAAUGGGGGCAACCCUGACGCAGCGAUGCCGCGUGAGUGAAGAAGGCCUUCGGGUUGUAAAGCUCUUUCAGUGGGGACGAUUGUGACGGUACCCACAGAAGAAGCUCCGGCUAACUCCGUGCCAGCAGCCGCGGUAAUACGGAGGGGGCGAGCGUUGUUCGGAAUUACUGGGCGUAAAGGGCGCGUAGGCGGUUUGGCAAGUCAGGAGUGAAAUCCCAGAGCUUAACUCUGGAAUGGCUCUUGAAACUGCUUUACUGGAGUCCGGCAGAGGAUGGUGGAAUUCCCCGUGUAGAGGUGAAAUUCGUAGAUAUGGGGAGGAAGACCAGAGGCGAAGGCGGCCAUCUGGACCGGUACUGACGCUGAGGCGCGAAAGCGUGGGGAGCGAACAGGAUUAGAUACCCUGGUAGUCCACGCUGUAAACGAUGAGUGCUGGUUGUCGCGGGUAUCGACCCCUGCGGCAACGUAAGUUAACGCGUUAAGCACUCCGGCCUGGGUGAGUACGGCUCGCAAGGCUAAAAC
rnacentral:rRNA from 1 species